rnacentral:rRNA from 1 species
UGGGGAAUCUUGGACAAUGGGCGCAAGCCUGAUCCAGCCAUGCCGCGUGAGUGAUGAAGGCCUUAGGGUUGUAAAGCUCUUUCACCGGAGAAGAUAAUGACGGUAUCCGGAGAAGAGGCCCCGGCUAACUUCGUGCCAGCAGCCGCGGUAAUACGAAGGGGGCUAGCAUUGUUCGGAAUUACUGGGCGUAAAGCGCACGUAGGCGGAUAUUUAAGUCAGGGGUGAAAUCCCAGAGCUCAACUCUGGAACUGCCUUUGAUACUGGGUAUCUUGAGUAUGGAAGAGGUAAGUGGAAUUCCGAGUGUAGAGGUGAAAUUCGUAGAUAUUCGGAGGAACACCAGUGGCGAAGGCGGCUUACUGGUCCAUUACUGACACUGAGGUGCGAAAGCGUGGGGAGCGAACA